GUCGCAAAAUACACGCUCCCUAGGAUUAUUUUCCAAGCACCAUAUUUGAAAUGCAAGUCCAUCUCAGCUCCUCAGAGUCUGUCCAGAUCACUGACGUGCCCACAGAUAUCUCCCAACUGAUCCUGGCCACAGAAACACCACCCAGAGGGAUGCGCCUUGCGUUGCGUCCCCCACAAAAGGAAUCGCUUACCAUGCCACUACUUGUAAUCCACAUCCACUUGAGAAUUG
rnacentral:lncRNA from 1 species